ACACGUAGGGGCCUGACGUUGUUCGGAAUCAUUGGGCGUAAAGGGCGCGCAGGCGGCCGUCCAAGUCCGGUGUUAAAUGGUCGGGCUCAACCCGAUCAUGCGCUGGAAACUGGGCGGCUUGAGUCCCGUAGGGGAUGCCGGAAUUCCAGGUGUAGGGGUGAAAUCUGUAGAUAUCUGGAAGAGCACCGAUGGCGAAGGCAGGCAUCUGGCCGGAGACUGACGCUGAGGCGCGAAGGCGCGGGGAGCGAACAGGUUUAGAUACCCUGGUAGUCCGCGCAGUAAACGAUGCGCACCAGGUGUCGGGCGGCAGCGCCCGGUACCGGAGCUAACGCGAUGAGUGCGCCGCCUGGGGAGUAUGCCCGCAAGGGUGAAACUCAAAGGAAUUGACGGGG
rnacentral:rRNA from 1 species